CGGACCGGCGCACGGGUGAGUAACACGUAUGGAACCUGCCCUAUGCAGGGGGAUAAGCGGAAGAAAUUCCGUCUAAUACCGCAUAACACCUUUAGGAGACAUCUUCUUGGGUCAAAGGAGGCGACUCCGGCAUAGGAUGGCCAUGCGUCGCAUUAGCUAGUCGGCGGGGUAACGGCCCACCGAGGCGACGAUGCGUAGGGGUUCUGAGAGGAAGGUCCCCCACACUGGUACUGAGACACGGACCAGACUCCUACGGAAGGCAGCAG
rnacentral:rRNA from 1 species